GACAGCCUCCUCCCCCACACCUCUACAGUCUACAUCGCGUCGCCGCCAGUCUCCCCCGCGCACCUCCCUACCCUUGCUUACCUCCCUGCGCACCGCAGGAUGACUCUGACGCGCGCCCCGCUGCCAAGUGACUCCGACGAACGCCCAUCGCAAGUUCACCCACGGCGGGGCCUUCCACCUCACCGUCCACGCGGUCGACCUCCUCGCCGCCCGCGCUCUCGUUCCUCUUCAGCAACUCCAUGCCCAACUCCGCGCUCGAGCGCAUCACCCACAACACCAAGUCCAGCGAUUUCGGCGUCAUCGGCAUCUCUGUGGCGAACGCGUCUCUGCCUCCCUGGGGUUUGGGGUCGCUGCCAGGGACGCACAGGAUGGCACGAAGGCUGACACCAACACCGUGGUGGUGCUCCACCAGUCCGACGCUGGUGAGUACCUCCUCAAGGAGGAGGAGCUCAUGUGAGGUUCCACUUCGUCCUGCCGCCACUCUCAUCCUCGUCCGCCUCGUGGUCGCAGUCCUAGCCAUGGAUGAUGCCACUGUGCCGUACUCCCCACUUUCCCCUACAUGAUGACCCGCGCUACUCUGCCACCAUGCAAUCAGACGCUUGUCUCCGUCCCUAUCAGUCCACAGAGAUCAAUGUUCGGUGACUUAGAUAGCUUUAAUGCGCUGAGGAAGGGUUUGAACUGAGACGAGUGCCGGGAGAGGCUGAGCAGGAUUGCGAUGAGGGUGAGCCAUCAACGCUGCCGCCGGCGACCGUUUACCGCAACCAAGCCCGUGGCAGCUAGGUGCCGGCGACCAUGGCAUCGACCGUGUUGGCCCAUGGUGUUUCUGACCUUCCGCGCUCUGUUUUAGGCAUCCAGAGGUUGACUAGGUGGCUAGGAGCUCAGCUGGGUUCACUUGCAUUUGCAUUCUUUUAUGCAACGUCGGAUACCCUGGGAAGUUCAUGCAUGUUCUUUUUCUGAUAUGGUUUUCUCAUAGUGCAGGGCACGAAGAUAGGUCUCCUUUUAGUUACCACAAAUUUUAGUUUUUUCUGCUAACUGUCAUCUCCACUUUCUUAUCAGUUUAAGCAACUAACAAAUGAAUCUGUGCACAGUUCUACCAUUUUUUCACUCUUAUGGGGCCAUCUAUGUUGAGUAUGUGUGUUCUGCUAUUCUGCAACUUCAAUCAAGAAUGUAGUCUCAUGCGAUUGUCUUUGCUAAUACAAUUUGUAAUGCAAGCAAAAUUUAUUGCAUGUUCCAGCUCCUUCUAUUUUUAUUCAUGUGCUCUCCUUGUCAUGCUCUAAUUGAAGUGUACAUGCAGAUUCUCAAAAUUGCUUAUCAUCAAAUUACUUGACUUAUGUACAGCUUGGAUAUCAUUUAGUGAAUUUUACCUACCUCCAUGAACAUGAUAUGACCUGCUCUUCCCAGUUCUCUAAGGUAAUUUAUCAAUUUGCUGCUUAGUUAGGAAGAGGCUGAAUCGUGUUGGAUUUGCACCGAGAGGAAGCUCGUUGACAUGAUGAACAGGGUAGUGUUUACUGAGGGCAGCUCGGCAAGGAAGAGACAGGAUGUUUGCCAUUGACCUACACUGAAAGUGAGCGUAUUUACCUCAUUUGGUCGCCGUUUUCCCUUGAAUCAACUUUAGAUCAUGCAAUUUGCCAUCCUCUUCUACAUGUGUUUUUUAUUGGGUUUCGGUUUCAUUGGGAUUCUUCAUGAGAAUGAUCUACAUUUUUCAUGCUUUUUUACUUAUGUAGUAACGCUGAAAACAAUAAGAAACAAAUUUUUAUUGGGUUUUCAUUUGAUUGAGAUUCUUAGUGAAAAGAUCCACAAUCUACCUAAAUGCCCGUGGCAACGCACUACCAGACUAGAUUGAAAAUUGUUGUCAAAGAUACAAAACCAGUUAUCAAUAACAUAUAUAUGCAUAAGAGAUGACAAUUGAAUGUUAGGGAAAGUAUCUUUCAGAGUGCUCCUGCAUAUAAACAUGUUUCCAUGUUAAACACUACUAAGCGGCAACAGAAAUAUAGGUGAAUCUGGUCCCAAUGUGGUUUUUAUCCAAACUCCCUAAAUACCUGGAAAAAUAAUUCCACUUCUGGUUUUAGGGAACUGAAAAAAUAAUUAUUGAUCUGCAGGGCCAUGUCUAGACCAAUACUCAUCGACAGUUUGUCAUUCCUAAGAUUUUAUUAGUUUCAUGAAAAUGAAUUCUCCGACACAAUCCAAUGGACAUACUCCCUUCGAAGUGUGCGCGGCAAAGGAGUAGUUCAUGCCUUUCUUUAGCACAAUGAGGGAGUUAACCCACACUAGCUGCAUAAUCUGCUGACCGGCAGUUGCCUGGUUUGAGCGGACCAAUAGUUCCCAUGGAGAGCGAGGCUGUGCGGGGCACCUCGUGGAUGACUAUGCUUCAUCACCAAAAGAUAAUCUUUUUUUAUUAUUUGAUUUUCUUCAGAAUUUAUCCCAAUAAAAUUUGGCUGUGGCAACUCACGGGCACAUACCUCGACAAUAGUUAUUUCAGAAAAAGAGGCAAAAGAUCGCAUUAUAUAUAUCAUUUCGUAUAUCAUAUGGCAGCAAAAACACAUUGUGAUGGUUGCCCUCAGCUACGACAGUGCAUGUUUCUUAUAACCGGGAAUCGGCCGAUGCCGUGGAGAGGAGAGGAGGGGCGGACGACGCCAUGCCGGGAAGGAGAGAGCGGUGAGAGGAAGCUGCAAGCUGAAUGACAUGACAUCGAGGGGAGGUGGUGGAGGGAGAGAUGGCAACGACGACGAUGUGGCGAGGAGAGCAUGCCUGGGUAAUGAGAUAUGAGUGUGAGCGUUGUGCCUUGCGGUGACAGUCCGCGAUUGAACUACUUUUUUUUAAGAUGAGAAGAAAAGGAGCGGUUUUUUUAGGGAACCGAUUGCUUGCUAUGAGAGAAAUGUCACAUACUUUUUAUAUAGUGAAAAAUAUCACACACCCUAGCAGGUCAUUUCUGAAGAAUAAUUACCCACAAGUGAUUUACAGGUGAAUUUACAGUUUACUAAAAUUGAGAUGCGACUCACUAAUAAAAAACGUCAGAUGCUCGAAGCAAGCAGUUGAGCAAUGAAUAUAUAUUGUAUAUGGCCUUAUCUUAUUUUUAUUUUAUUUUAACAUGUGUUUAUAUAUUCACUUUUGGAGAAUAGAGAUAACAACUGAUGGUUUCGAAUGAUGCUUUGAAAAUACCGAUUGACAUAGCUAUACAAUGGAUGGACUAAAAACUCAUCGUGUCUUACACAAUUGGAAGAGACAUAUUCGAAUAAUUGUUCUUCCUUACAUAUUUGUUGUAGAUGAUAAUACAAAAAUGUGUCUCUCUUCUUAUUUUUAUAUAUGUUUAUUUUUGCAGAGGAUGCGAGAUGGAGAUGUAUUAUGCUGAUGUUCAAAAUGAUCCAUCAACAAGGAUGUUGACGCGAUGUUCUUGAAAGAGACCAAAAAUUCACUGAGUUUUAUACAAUAAUACAUGUAUAUUUA